rnacentral:rRNA from 1 species
GACGAACGCUGGCGGCGUGCUUAACACAUGCGAGUCGAACGGUGAAGCGCCUUCCUUUUUGGUGGGUGUGGAUGAGUGGCGAACGGGUGAGUAACACGUGAGUAACCUGCCCCCUUCUUCUGGAUAACCGCAUGAAAGUGUGGCUAAUACGGGAUAUUCUGGGUCUGUCGCAUGAUGGGUCUGGGAAAGAUAUUGUUUCGGUGGGGGAUGGGCUCGCGGCCUAUCAGCUUGUUGGUGGGGUGAUGGCCUACCAAGGCGGUGACGGGUAGCCGGCCUGAGAGGGUGGACGGUCACACUGGGACUGAGACACGGCCCAGACUCCUACGGGAGGCAGCAGUGGGGAAUAUUGCACAAUGGGCGCAAGCCUGAUGCAGCGACGCCGCGUGAGGGAUGGAGGCCUUCGGGUUGUGAACCUCUUCCGCCAGUGAAGCAGGCCUGCCUCGUUUGUGGGUGGGUUGACGGUAGCUGGAUAAGAAGCGCCGGCUAACUACGUG